CAGUAGCCGCGGUAAUACGAAGGGUGCAAGCGUUAAUCGGAAUUACUGGGCGUAAAGCGUGCGUAGGCGGUUUGUUAAGUCUGUUGUGAAAUCCCCGGGCUCAACAUGGGAAUGGCAAUGGAUACUGGCAAGCUAGAGUGUGUCAGAGGAUGGUGGAAUUCCCGGUGUAGCGGUGAAAUGCGUAGAGAUCGGGAGGAACAUCAGUGGCGAAGGCGGCCAUCUGGGACAACACUGACGCUGAGGCACGAAAGCGUGGGGAGCAAACAGGAUUAGAUACCCCAGUAGUCCCUGUCUCUUAUAC
rnacentral:rRNA from 1 species